UUGCUCCUCCUUCGGAGACUAAGUCCUGUUGAUCCUCAAGCACUUCUGAAAUUCUAUGAUUCAUUCAACCCUCUCUGAGUUCUGAUCCUCAGGAUACCCCUACUGGGCCUGCCAUUGGUGGUGCCCAAGUUAACCCUGACCCACCUGUACCUUACAGGGAUGUGUUGGGUUUCUUCCUGUGAUUUUUGUCUUGACUCCGAUUACUUGUUUCCAAUAUUUGAGGGUGACCACUAUUAGUUUGUUAUUUUCCUUUGUGUCUAGUAUAAGGACUUACAUAGAAAGUACUCAAAUACUCACAGGAUGAAUUGAAAUACUGGAAAUUGCCAUAGUUUAACUAUAAACUAAAAUGCAGUCAGUCUUUGUCAUCUUAAUUACAAUUUCGACCAACAUAGUUGGUUCUGCCUAUAUAUUAUGAUCACAAACGUAGACUCAACAAAGAAAUGAGUUAUCAGCAGGGGUGAGGUAGAAUAAAUGAGGUGACUGUAGGUAAACUACUUUUGUCCAGAAAAGGUUAAAGGACUCCCUUGUAUAUUUUUGAACAGUUGUGAGGUUCCCAGACUUGGGGUGGGGUCUACCAGCUGUUUCCCCAAAUUCCUUUACUCUCCUCUUCUUUAUCCUUCUGAUGACUGUCCCCUAUUUAAAAAGAGGAUAUAAAUCUGUUUCCAGUC
rnacentral:lncRNA from 1 species